UACGAAGGGGGCUAGCGUUGCUCGGAAUUACUGGGCGUAAAGCGCACGUAGGCGGCUCUUUAAGUCAGGGGUGAAAUCCUGGAGCUCAACUCCAGAACUGCCUUUGAUACUGAGGGGCUUGAGUCCGGGAGAGGUGAGUGGAACUGCGAGUGUAGAGGUGAAAUUCGUAGAUAUUCGCAAGAACACCAGUGGCGAAGGCGGCUCACUGGCCCGGUACUGACGCUGAGGUGCGAAAGCGUGGGGAGCAAACAGG
rnacentral:rRNA from 1 species